rnacentral:antisense_RNA from 1 species
AGACCAGUACAAAAGCAGACUGCAUAAUUUUGGAGACGAUCACAGCUAGAGUUGGGAUACUAACCACUGACAUCUGUGAGACACGGGCCUACAGGGAAUGAGUUUAUUAAUGAGAUGUGAAAGGCAUGGGUGACAGAGUGAGACUCUGUCUCAAAAAAAAAACAACAAAAAAUCAAGUUGGAUAACACUCCCCAGGAUAAACUCCAAAUGUAUUAGAUUUAAGGAUUAAA